CAUCUCAGUAUUGUCAUCUAUUGAUUGUCUUUCAUUCAUUUGGUUUGAGGUCUUCCUAGAUUCUUGGUAUGACAUGUAAUUUUCAAUCGAACCCUAGACAUUUUUGUAUCAUUAUGAGGCUCUGGAUCUUAGUUAAGCGUCUUUUAACUGGGUUCUUCUAUUUUUAACUCCAUUCUGACAGGGGAAAGGAAAGGUGCUGCCUCAUUACUGCCUUGUUAUUGCCACAUAGAAUCGACCUCCCCUAGUUUGCUCGCUGAGCCUCUGUUAACACCCAAGCAGAGACACAUCAGGAGAGGCUCCCCAUGUGGUCUCCACUGACACUGCAGGAAGCUCUCAUGGAGGCCAAUGGGGAUGAAAGUCUUCGCUCUUUACCUGAUCUUCUCUGACACCACUUCAGCACUUUACUACGGUUUUAGAAAGGCUGCCACUGAUUCCAGAGCUGCUGAAAAGAUGUCAAGUCCCAGAACUGCUCCUUUUCGAAAUCUCCAGAACUGAGCCUGUGCAUCGACAGUGCCUGUUACACUGUUUCUCCUUGUUUGUUUUGUUUUGCCUGCUUGUGGAAUGUUUUCUCGGGAGAAUGCUAGAAGCAAAAAGCCCUUUUCUUGGUAAGAUGCGCCUCUGUUAAUUUGGUGAAAUGUCACAGAUAAAGAUUGUGUGUGUGAGACAUUGUGUAUUUGCGUGCACACAUGCGCACGUGCGUUCAUCAGCCUGUGCUAGUUUCGCUCCUUUGAUGGCCGCCUUCAACAAUGGAACAGGAUGACUUUUUCUUCCCACUCAUUCCUCCUCCGGCAGUCAUCCUGCUGGAUGACUUAAGGAGACCAUGCUCUUUUAGCAAAACAUCACAUAGGAAAUGCCUAUGGAAUGGCUAAUUUGGUAAGUGUGAAAGUCGGGUUUUGUCGUUUUUUGUUUGUUUUUUGUUUUGUUUUGUUUUUAGAUAUCUUACCUUGAGCUCAGACCGCUGUGAAGGCCUUUUUUAAUUCCCCCACUCUCCCUACCAGACCCAGGGGCUCGAAACCCCCAACAGAGAACAAAACAGAGCGGAAGUAGGAUGGAAGAACUGAUCCACCUCACCAGAAAAGGAGGAGCCUUGAGAGUAGACAGCAAAAGGGUAUAAAAGAGAAAGUAUGGCCAUGGGGGUGGGUUGGAGUUGAGGGAGAAAGGGUUGGUCAAAAGCAGAAGGCAUUUCUCUGCCAACCGCAACGCUGGGAUAUGCAUUCACAGUACCAACAAGAGAAAUCGGGGGAAAGUUGCUGAGAGAACAAGAAAUGGGGCCAGCAUCCCUCCUGGGCCCUGAUUGGUUGAAACGCAUGACCAACGAGAUUCUGUGUAAGCUUGAUAAGCUUAUAGUAAGUGCAUUUGGUUUAUGGUCUAUACUAUCCUUUUCCUUUCAAGACAGGAAAACUGAGGUCCUGGCCAUAAAAGUAGAAAUCAGGACAGAGCCAUUUUCAGGUACUUCUCAUUGACUAGUAAGUUAAUUACUAAUAAAUGGAUUAGGGUCACUCCCAAAAGAGAACAGAAAGAAAAAGAAAAAGAAAGCACAAGACCAGAAUAUCUUUGCCUUGGAGGACUUCCUCAUGGUAUAGAAGACACAGCAUAAGUUACAUUUCGGAGCCGGAUAAAUCAAAUCUGCCCCCCACCACCCCCCGCUGUGCUAGAUGAGAGAGGGGGAAUCAGGUUGGGCUGUCUCUCAAGGUAGUUCCCCAAUGCCUACAACUACAAGUCAGUAUGAUCUAUUCCAAGCCUCCAAUCCGCUCCAGUUCGCCAGCCAAACAUGUGGGGAUUUGGCUGCUGUCCAAUAGUCAGGUAAGUGGGCAGGCAGAUAAGCAAUAGCCAAAGUGGGGUGAGUAAACCAAGGAGAUCAACUUUAGAUACUUAAAAUGUGAGGCUAUGACAAAAAGUGUGAUUAAAAAAGAAAAAUCCUGGGAAUAACCGAAAAUGUGGAGUGAGAGGCUGGGUAUAGAGUUGAGAGAAAUUAGAAGUGAUGCGAUAUAUUUAUUCUGGUGGUAGUGAUGUGGGAAACAAAGACAGAAGGAAGUGGUGAAUAAAAUUAAAUUUCCUUAUUACCAGCAGCCCACGGACAAAUACUUGAGGCGGGCACAGUGGAACAUUUCUCUAGAAGCCUCCUACCGUCUUAAUGUGCAUGCUUUGCUAGAGGGAGAAACAAUCUUAACCUGACAAUAGCAAGGCCUCCGGGAUCCUAGCAGAUGAAAAUACCUUUGGAAACUUCCCCUUGCCUUUACCUCCCCCAACUCCCAAGUAUAUAAUCAGUCACUCCUCACAAUCCCAGGGUAGCUCUUUCUGUCCACGGGCCCUGUCCCCAUGCUUUAAUAAAAUCACUUUUUUGCACCAAA